UAUUCUUCCACCCCCUCAGGCCUAGCCAAAGCAGAGGAGCGCUGGCUUCUCCGGCUCUACACUAAUACGGUACUGUGCCCGGCCGUGCUGGAACGCUUCAACC
rnacentral:lncRNA from 1 species